rnacentral:rRNA from 1 species
UACGGAGGAUGCGAGCGUUAUCCGGAUUUAUUGGGUUUAAAGGGUGCGUAGGCGGCGAGUUAAGUCAGCGGUAAAAGCCCGGGGCUCAACCCCGGCCCGCCGUUGAAACUGGCAGUCUCGAGUUGGAGAGAAGUAUGCGGAAUGCGCGGUGUAGCGGUGAAAUGCAUAGAUAUCGCGCAGAACCCCGAUUGCGAAGGCAGCGUGCCGUGCCGCCACUGACGCUGAGGCACGAAGGCCAGGGGAGCGAAAGGG